GGGGAUAUAGCUCAGUUGGUAGAGCUUCGCUUUUGCAAGGCGAAAGUCAGCGGUUCGAAUCCGCUUGUCUCCA
rnacentral:tRNA from 5 species